CAGUAGCCGCGGUAAUACAGAGGGUGCGAGCGUUAAUCGGAUUUACUGGGCGUAAAGCGUGCGUAGGCGGCUUUUUAAGUCGGAUGUGAAAUCCCUGAGCUUAACUUAGGAAUUGCAAUCGAUACUGGGAAGCUAGAGUAUGGGAGAGGAUGGUAGAAUUCCAGGUGUAGCGGUGAAAUGCGUAGAGAUCUGGAGGAAUACCGAUGGCGAAGGCAGCCAUCUGGCCUAAUACUGACGCUGAGGUACGAAAGCAUGGGGAGCAAACAGGAUUAGAUACCCCAGUAGUCCCUGUCUCUUAUAC
rnacentral:rRNA from 1 species